rnacentral:rRNA from 1 species
GAUGAACGCUGGCGGCGUGCCUAAUACAUGCAAGUCGAGCGAACGGACGAGAAGCUUGCUUCUCUGAUGUUAGCGGCGGACGGGUGAGUAACACGUGGACAACCUACCUAUAAGACUGGGAUAACUUCGGGAAACCGUAGCUAAUACCGGAUAAUAUUUUGAACCGCAUGGUUCAAAAGUGAAAGACGGUCUUGCUGUCACUUAUAGAUGGAUCCGCGCUGCAUUAGCUAGUUGGUAAGGUAACGGCUUACCAAGGCAACGAUGCAUAGCCGACCUGAGAGGGUGAUCGGCCACACUGGAACUGAGACACGGUCCAGACUCCUACGGGAGGCAGCAGUAGGGAAUCUUCCGCAAUGGGCGAAAGCCUGACGGAGCAACGCCGCGUGAGUGAUGAAGGUCUUCGGAUCGUAAAACUCUGUUAUUAGGGAAGAACAUAUGUGUAAGCAACUGUGCACAUCUUGACGGUACCUAAUCAGAAAGCCACGGCUAACUACGUG